AAGGCCUGGGUGGGCUGGGAUGGAGAGGGCGUCGCGCUGAAAUUGCGCAUGCGCAUCCCUGGAACCCGAAGUUGGUUUGUUCCGAGCAGCGUAUUUCAAUAUCGCGCGCGGAAACCAGCUGGCUGAUGCAGUGCUUGCCAGAGUUUGCCAAAUUAAGAAAACGGUUCCUCAAUUUUAAAAGAAGGAGAGUUGACAGUACCUUCUUCAUAAUAUUGCUGUGAGGAUUAAAUGAAAAUAAGUAAAGUGCAUAGAAUAGUGUCUGGCCCGAGAUCUUCUCUGGAGAAGCAUACUGCUAUCACGUUUAAGUAAUGUGUGGUCUUCAUCAUGCCCAAAACACUAUACGGAGCAUUUAAACGCGUGAUACCUAUGCAAUUUACUGUAUUUGCAAAGUGAAAGCAUGCCCUUUACACAGCUAUGAUUGAAAUGUGCCAGAUACUUGAAGGAAUUUAAAAGGAUUAAGAGAUCGUCCCUACCUUCAAGGAGUUUCCAGUCUUAUACAGACCUUUAGGAUCUAAAGAUUGAAUCUCUUUUAGUGAGCCUCCAAAAUGAAAAAUUAAUGGAUAAAUGGAAUAGUAAGGUUUAUUUAUUUUUGUUGAAUUGUGCUCAAUAUCUUGCCUGACACCACCUGUGAUAAAUCUGCUUUUUUUACUCUCUCUGGAAAACAUGUGAAUCACAGCUGAUGGAGAAACAAUCAUUAUCAUCAAUUCUUGUUGUCUUGGCUACCACUGGGUGGAUGGCGCUGAUUCUAACAGACGCUAGCCUGCCAAAUGCUCGGGAUGCUCCAUCAAUCACUGGGUCAAGAUCCACCUCUAGUCACACUAGAGGGAAGGACUUCUGGAGAUUGCACAGCCGGGAUAUCAGCUCAUUCCUCAAAUAACCCUAGUAAUUUUGUGGAAAUAAAAAUUUAACUACUGUAUCACACUGUGAUUUGGAAGAACUGAACUGUUAUUGUCCUAUCACAAUUUUCCUAUACAGAAGAUAGACUUUUCAGAUCUGAUGUAGUUUCUUGGUUUUGAAAGUUAAGAUCUCCUGGGAAAUGCGAAUUUCUGUUUAGAGAAUUUCCUCCCCCUCUAUCAGUCAUGUCAGAGUUGUUUUUAUUAUAACAUUUGUUUUACAAUGUAAGAUUUUCCUUUCCAUCUUGACAUAAUUGCUAGUGGUUAUCAAAACUAGGCAAUGUUGAACACGAGAACCUGAACAGAAAAGAAGUAAUGCAAAUUACUUGGUCAGAAAACCUCUCAAAGGACUUAAAUAGAUUUGGAAUGAAAGAUGCAAGACUACAUUAAAUUUAAAUAACUUGCCAUAUAAAUGUUGAAAAACAAUUACCAAAUCUUUAAAAUUGCAAGGACCAGGAUUAAAGGUUUAAAAGAAAUUCAUUUUCUCUCUUACAGAAACUUAAUCCUCCUUUUAAUGUGCUUUCUUCUCGCAACUCUGCGAUUUAUCUGUGUGUAUUUGCAUUUAUCGUAUUUUUUUCCGGUUUUUCUUCCUUAUUAUAUCGUAAUCUCCUUUGUGGGCAGGGGCCACUGCAAAUCUUUAAUUGUGCCAGAUGUCUCUGACUACUGA
ensembl:lncRNA